GGGCCUGUAACUCAGUGGUAGAGUGCUCGCUUUGCACCAGUGCAGAAACUGCGAGAAGCCCAGGGUUCGACUCCCUGCUCGUCCA